UACGGAAGGUCCGGGCGUUAUCCGGAUUUAUUGGGUUUAAAGGGAGCGCAGGCCGACUGGUAAGCGUGACGCGAAAUGUAGCCGCUCAACGGCUGAACUGCGUCGCGAACUGUCAGUCUUGAGUGAGUUCGAUGUUGGCGGAAUUCGUGGUGUAGCGGUGAAAUGCUUAGAUAUCACGAAGAACUCCGAUUGCGAAGGCAGCUGACGAGUCCUUUACUGACGCUAAAGCUCGAAGGUGCGGGUAUCGAAC
rnacentral:rRNA from 1 species